rnacentral:lncRNA from 1 species
UGUUUUUUUUAUGUCACCAUGCCAUUCAGUCUCAAGAAUGCUGGAGCUACAUUCAUGAGGAUGAUUCAGAAGUGUAUGCUCACUCAAAUCAGUCGGAAUGUAGAAGCAUACAUGGAUGACAUUGUAGUCAAGUCGCGUAAAGGUUCUGACCUGCUGGCUGACCUUGCUGAAACCUUUGCCAACCUGAUAAGAUAUGAUAUCAAGCUUAACCCAUCAAAGUGCACAUUCGGAGUUCCUGGCAGAAAGUUACUCUGCUUCCUCGUUUUCGAACGAGGGAUCGACGUGAACCCAGAGAAAGUUGGUGUCAUACUCCGGAUGAAGCGCCCUGUGCGUGUGCAUGAUGUCUAGAAGCUUACUGGUUGUUUGGCUGCCUUGAGUCGAUUUAUUUCUCGCCUCGGUGAAAAGGCAUUGCCUCUUUACUGACUAAUGAAGAAAUCUGACAAGUUCGAGUGGACUCCUAAAGCUGAUGCAGCGUUUGCAGAACUCAAAGCCCUGCUUUCCACCCAGCCGGUGCUCGCUGCCCCAAUCAGCAAAGAGCCUUUACUGCUUUAUAUUGCAGCCACUGGACAAGUUGUCAGUACAGUACUCACGGUCGAGCGGGAAGAAGAAGGAAAAGCCUAUAAAGUUCAGCGCCCAGUAUACUAUGUUUCUGAAGUUCUGACUCCAUCCAAGCAAAGAUAUCCACAUUAUCAGAAGCUUGUUUAUGGGAUUUACAUGACCACAAAGAAGGUUGCACAUUAUUUCUCUGAUCACUCCAUUACAGUCGUCAGCGACGCACCAUUGUCAGAAAUUCUGAACAACAGAGAUGCAACUGGUCGAGUGGCAAAGUGGGCGAUUGAACUCCUUCCCUUGGAUAUCAAGUUUGAGGCAAAGAAGGCUAUCAAAUCCCAGGAAAUAGCAGAUUUCCUUGCCGAGUGGAUCGAACAACAAAUGCCGACUCAGAUUCACUCGGACCAUUGGACCGUGUUCUUUGAUGGAUCUAAGAUGUUGAAUGGUUCUGGUGCUGGGGUAGUAUUGGUAUCCCCCCGAGGUGACAAGCUCCGCUAUGUUCUCCAGAUUCAUUUUGAUUCCUCCAAUAAUGAAGUUGAAUAUGAGGCACUUUUGUACGGGUUGCGUAUGGCCAUUUCACUCGGCGUCCGUCGCCUCAUGGUCUACGGCGACUCAGAUUUGGUGGUGAAUCAAGUAAUGAAGGAGUGGGACGUCAGAAGCCCGGCUAUGACUGGCUAUUGUAAUGCAGUGAGAAAGUUAGAGAAGAAGUUUGAGGGUUUAGAGCUCCAUCACAUACCCCGACUGAAAAAUCAAGCAGCGGGUGAUUUGGUGAAGAUAGGUUCCAAGAGAGAAGCCAUUCCCAGUAAUGUGUUUUUGGAACAUACUCAUACACCUUCAGUCCAGGAAGAUCCUUUGAAUGAAGAGCCCCCACAACCAAAGAGCGCCACUGAUCCGACUGAAGUCGAAGUCCCAGUCGUGGUCGACUUGAUCAUGGAGGUUUUGGUCAUGACUCCAGACUGGACAGUGUCGUACAUCGCGUACAUCCUUAGGAAGGAACUCCCAGAGGACGAAGAAGAGGCCCGACAGAUCAUCCUCCGAUCCAAAGCUUCUACUAUGAUAAGAGGGCGGCUGUUUAGAGAAAGUGUAACUGGAGUCAGCCAGAAAUGCAUAACACCAGAAGAAGGUUGAGUGAUCCUUAACGAUAUCCACUCGGGGACCUAUGGUCACCAUGCGUCCUCUCGGACCAUUGUGGCCAAAGCAUACCGAGCGGGAUUUUAUUGGCCACGAGCAAACGAGAUGGCACAAGAAAUAGUCGAUAGAUGUGAAGGUUGCCAGUUUUACUCCAACAUGUAUCACAAGCCUGCGUCAGCCCUGAAGACCAUUCCACUCGUCUGGCCCUUCACUGUUUGGGGUUUGGACAUGGUUGGACCUCUGAGAACGGGUAGGAGCGGCUUCACUCAUGUACUCAUGGCAGUCGACAAGUUCACCAAAUGGAUUGAAGCCAACCCUAUCAAAAGUCUUGAAGCCAGUACUGCGGUCAGUUUCAUUAGAGAGUUAACAUUCAGAUAUGGUGUUCCGCACAGCAUCAUCACUGAAAAUGGGUCGAACUUCGAUUCUGAUGAGUUCAGAUCCUUCUACGCUUCCCAAGGCAGUCGAGUCAACUAUGCUUCAGUCGCCCAUCCCCAGUCGAAUGGACAAACUAAAAGAGCAAACAGAUUGAUUCUCAAAGGACUGAAACCCCGACUGAUGCAUGAUCUCAAGCACGCGGCAGGCGCUGGGUCGAUGAACUUCCAUCAGUGCUUUGGUGUUUGAGGACAACUCCUAAUCGGUCGACUGGUCGAACUCCAUUCUUCUUGGUCUAUGGAUCUGAAGCUGUUCUUCUGAGUGACUUGCUUCACAAUGAACCUAGAGUCGAGCUUUUCUCAGAAGAUGAAGCAGAACAGGCUCGGCAAGACACAAUUGAUCUCCUGGAAGAGGAAAGAGAGAUGGCCCUGAUCCGGUCGACCAUUUAUCAGCAAGACCUGCGUCCAUUCCACGCCAGAAACGUGAGGGGUCAAGCAUUUCAAGAAGGAGACUUGGUUCUUCGAGUGGAUCAGCAGAAACCACACAAGCUCGCCCCUACUUGGGAAGGUCCCUUCAUUAUCACCAGAGUGCUCCACAAUGGAGCAUACCAGUUAUACAAUGUCGAGCACAAGAAAGAUGAGCCAUGCGCUUGGAAUGCGGAGCUGCUCCACCCCUUUUACACUUAAGCAUUCAGACUGUUGAGAUGUAAUAAGAAAUACCCUUUAGUUUGAUUAUCAAAGACACAGUUUUACAGUCUCUUAAAUGAUUGUUGUUCUUUUUUAUAUGUUCUAAAUCCCUGAGUGGGUGCCUUAGAUGAGAAUCCGUUUCGCCUAAGUUUUUAAAACAAAAUCAUACCGAGUGAUGAGCAAGCCUCUCACUCGGAGGCUUAGCUGUGAAUCUAUUUCGCCUAAGUUUGAGAAAUCCUACCGAGUGAUGAGCAAGCCUCUCACUCGGGGGGCUUAGCUGCAGUCCAGUACUCGCCUAAGUUAAAAAAAUUCCUACCGAGUGGUGAGCAACCCUCACACUCGAGGGCUUAGCUGCAGUCCAGUACUCACCUAAGUUUUAAAAAAAUCCUACCGAGUGGUGAGAAACCCUCACACUCUGGGGCUUAGCUGCAGUCCAGCUCUCGCCUAAGUUUGAAACACAUCCCUAUCCGCAAGGAUGACGAGGUGUAGGUCGACUACAACCUUCUCUUCGGAGCUACGCCACAAAUACAACGUACGCUCCACCCUCAUUUGCGAGGACGAUGAGGUGCAGGUCGAUUGCAACCUUCUCUUCUGAGCUGCGCCACAAAUACAACAUGCGCUACAUCCUCAUCUGCGAGGACGAUGAGGUGCAGGUCGACUGCAACCUUCUCUUCGGAGCUGCGCCACAAAUACAACAUGCACUCCAUCCUAAUCUGCAAGGACGACGAGGUGCAGGUCGACUAGGACAUCCUCCUCGGAACUGCAUCUCAAGUACAAAGACUAUUCUGAGUAAAGAACAAGUUCCACUCGAAGGCAAACACAAGCACAUUCAAAAAAUAAACCAAGUUUAGAUAAAUCCUAAAGUUCCAGAACGAAGAUAAAAGUACUAGGGCAUCAGGCCCGAAGGAGUUUAACGGUUACAAAAUCACUCGGCAUUCCGAGGCAAAUUUAAGGCGAGAUAUAAAGUUUGUUCACUCCGCGGGAGGAGGGCUUGCAGGCUCGACGAACUCGUCCAGAUCGAUUCCGUCAGCGAUCCGAGUGGCAGCAGCAAUGAAGGUUUCCAUGAAGGAUUGGAAGUCAUGCCUUUUUGUGUUGGCUACUUUGAUCGCCGCUAGCUUCUCUUCUCGGGCUUCUUUGUAGUGGACCCGAACCAGCGACAGAGCCACGUCAGCACCGCAUCGGGCAGAAGACAUCUUCCAUUCUUGCACUCGACCAGGGACCUCAUUGAGUCGAGUCAUCAGAGACUCGAGGUCAUUUUGAAGCGUUGCCCUUGACCAAAGUGUCGUAUCGAUGCGCGACACCGCCACCUUCAGGAAAGCAAGAUAGCUUGUAACGCUGGCAACACAGGAUUCCAGUCGGAGCAUGUCCAUGGCGGCCUCAUCACCGAUAGGAGAAAGGAUGGGGUUCAAGCCCAUCUCGAUCCGUCCAGUUUCUUCUUCAAAGUUUUGGCAGAAUUCUGCAGAUUCAAAGAGAUCGGUUCACGUUAACUUGCAAACGGUAAAUCAGUCGGAUAAAGAAAAGUACCUUCGAGCAUAAGGAAGAGCUUCUUGGCGAGUGCUUUCAGAUAAGCUUCCAGGUCGUUUCUCCUACGAGACAUGCUUUCCAGCUGCUUGUUCAGAGUCACCUUAUCUUUCUUCAGACGAGUCGCCUCUCGGUUGGACUCGGUAAGAGACGCCUUCAGCUUGGUGAUUUCCUCCUCUAGCGCACCGACCGAAGCCGGCUUUUUGUCAGCAAGUGCAGUCUUCUCCUGAGCCUCCUUUUGCGCAGCUGCAAGAUCGAGGUCCUUCUUCGCCAGAGCCUGCCUCAUUUUCUCUACAAGAUAUACACUCAGGUUAGACAGAAGAACGAAGAGAUAACCUGAGGGAUGAUUAAGAUAAACAGUCGACAGGUCGUUACCUUCCAUACCAGCUACUUUGUCUUUAGCCUUUUUCAAGUUCUGAUGGGCCAGCUCCAAGUCAAGGUUGAGUUGUCUCUGCUUUUCCUCGAAUUCAGCAAACUUGGAGAUAAGCACACAGGAUUUCUACAAUUAGUAAAAGACAUGUCAAUGGACAAGAUCAAAGGUCAUUUGCUUCCAAGUGAAUAAAGCUUUAAGACUACUGCAGAAUCAAAUAUUCUACAGUAGUCUCGGGGACUACACCCAGUGGGUGCACUUAUCGUGCCCCCACUGGUUCAGAUUCCACUCGACAUGGUCCACCCAAACCGAGUGGAAGAAGAAAAACAAAAAAAAAGAAGAGAGACAUACUCAGACCCCAACCGAUUGCCAGCAGUCGACUGCGGUCUCGGGGACUACACCAAGUGGGUGCACUUAGCGUGCCCCCACUGGUUCGGAUUCCACUCGACAUGGUCCGCCUAGACCGAGUGGAAGAGAAAAACAACAAAGAUGUCAAACACCCACUGGGUGCGCAGAUGCGAAGUGCAGAAUAACAAGAAGUUGCAUGGAGAAAAGUUUUCAGGUAGCAUAUCCUAACAGAACAAGCAACAAGAUAAGAGUUCAGUCGGAAGCCAGCUUACCUGGACAUUGGCUCGAAGGGUCGCACUGGCGUCAUAAGCAGCCUGACUAUUUUCGUGCACUACCUUCACUCGCUCCAUCAUUAUGCCAGCUUGGCGAAUGGCUUCUGCAGCAGCAUCCGCCUGGCUUUCUGGAACAUGAUGAGUGGUGAAGAAUGGGAUUAACGGUGCAGAUGUAGCAACUUGAAGUUCCGAGGCAUGAAGCUGUACGGUUGAAGCAAGCACUGGUACAGUCGACAAUGUGGGGCGUUCACUCGAUACUGGAUCAGCGAAAGUAAUAGAAUCCCGAGUCACAUCUUUAGGCUGUUGAAUCGCUGGCUCUGCCGCCAGCACCGAUUGGGAUGUCUUGCCAGCUGAUGCCUUCUUGUUCCUCCUGGGCCUCAGUGGCACGUCCUCGUCGUCAUCUGGAAGCUCAAUGACAUUGGGAGGAGUUGCAAAAAGAUCAGUCGACCCCAGAUCAAUUGCCAGAAUUAAAUCGACCGAUAAAACGGCCGAGUAACUGAAGACAGGAUUACGAGAGUUGUACCCAGGUCGGAAGUGACUGCAUCUUCCAUUUCUUCAUAUUCAUACUUGUGGGUGGAAGUCCCGGAGGUAGCAGCACUGCAAAUUUCAAGAUUCAGUCGGUCAUGUCUAUCACAGUGGGUCGACCAAAACUCGAUUUGUACUAAACCAAGAAAUCAGGUCCGACUAUUACCCGGAAACAGUAGGAAUGGCCACUUUGAUCUUGGGCAAGGCCUUCUGCGGUUUUGACAAUGCAACUUUUGGUUGUUUCGGUGCCUUCUCAGUCAGCGCUGGAGACGGCGCGGCUUUCGAUUGCUUCGGUGCCUUCUUAGUCGGCACUGGAGAAGACGUCCGAGGGCGCUUUGACGACUACCCAGUCGGCGCGGUCGCUUUGUCAUGGAUGCUUGCCGGGUCGUGAGUGUGCUUGGAUCGCUUUUCCCUACGGGGAGGUGAGUCGGCCUCUUCUUCAUCACUCGGGUCGUCACUCUCCUCGUCCUCCUCUUCAUCAGAGUGCCACUCGCCGCUCUCGCCCCCGCUCGCCUCCCCCUCCGGAUCUUGCUCCUGCUCCCCGUUGGGCAUUGAGUACAUCUCAAUAAGGGCCUAAAAGACAACAAGCGAAGCAAAAAUCAGUCGGUUGACAACAAGCAGUUACAUGAUAAAUCAAGAGAACACUCUGCAAUUUAGAGUUGGACCUUGUUUGGUUGGCGCGAGUUGUCGAGUGGAGGGACUCUCCUAGACCCCUGGAUUUAUCUUUGUUGCCAGUGAUACCCCUCAGCCACUUCUCCACCAUAUCCUCGUUGACCUCUUCUGGUGGAUCCGAGUGGAAUCCUCAAUGCCCGAAUACAUCCACAUCAGAUGGUCACGAGUUGGAAGCGGCUGAAUGCGUCACUUAAGGAAGACCUCCAACAGAUCCAUGCCAGUCACGCCAUCACGGACGAGUUGGACCACCCGCUCGACUAGCACCUUCACCUCUGCUUUCUCCUCCAGGUCACUUUCAAGGCGGAGGGCUUCUCGACUCGAGCCAUGGAGAAGGGGGGAAUUCCGGUCGACUGACCUGGAGUCGGAUGGUCUUUGCAAUAGAACCAGGUCGACUGCCACCCUCGGACUGACUCAGAAAGGAUCAUGGCUGGGAAAGUGCUUUUACCUCUCAUUUGAAUCCCAAGACCCCCACACAUCUGGAUCACGUGCGUCCCCUCAUCACUCGGGUUGGCCUUCUUGACCGACUCAGAACGACACAUGAAAAUGUGCUUGAAGAGGCCCUAGUGUGGUCUACAACCCAAGAAAUUCUCGCACAUGGACACGAAGGCAGCGAGGUACACGAUGGUGUUGGGGGAAAAGUGGUGGAGUUGUGCUCCAAAGAAGUUCAAGAAGCCUCGAAAAAAAGGAUGGGGAGGCAAAGAAAACCCGCGGUCAACAUGGGUGGCGAGGAGGACACACUCACCCUCCUGCGGCUGCGGUUCGGUCUCGCCCUCAACCAGAUCGUCGAUGUCGUCCUGACAAAUCGUCGACCAAAUCCAAUCGCGCUGGAUCCAGCCGCGCGGCAGGCCGGACCUCGACGAAGAUCCGCCCCGGCUAGACUUCUUCCCCUUCGCCUUUGCCAUCGCCUUCUUCGCGCGCUCCCAGGCCACCAUCUUCUCCUUCCCCAUUGCAGCGGGCAGAGCUCGAACAGAGCGGCGGCGCCGGGAGCAGAGGUGGAUGUGGCGGAGAAAACGGGGGAGAAAGAGGAAGAAUGGGAACACACUAUGCAAAAAAACCCGAUUCGGCACCUUAUAUGAGGUCGUUUCCGAGUGGCUGACCAGUGGGUCCAAGCGAUCCUAUCGAAUCCCGCAACAGUCGCGCGCGCGAUACGUGGCGAAAAAGGUGGCGCGGUGAUCGAAGCAGCCUUGCCUAAUCCAGCCCGAUUACUGCGGCCUCCUCCGCCCCGCACGCUUCCCAAAAUUCAAAUCCCACAAGAUCCGUGGGCAGCAGAGCAACCUGUCAGACGGAAGAUUUUUCCCAUAUCAGCACUCGAAGCUUAGCAGUAAAAGUUCACUCGACAAAACCAAGAAUGGAUCAAGGCAACUGAAAAAGAAGUUGAAGUCACCAUGAUUGCUCAUUUGGUCCCAAUAAGGCACUUCCGAAGCGCGAAAUUGAGUCGGAGGUGUUCUCAACUCCUUCUCCACUCGAACCCUGAACAAUUCAGGGGCUAAUGAUGAAGCUAUGUACCUAGGGUAGGGUAAUAGGCCUGACCUAGACACCCCCCUAGGACAUCACCCUAAAACCAGAAGCAUUCGAGGGAUAGCAUAAUCCACUCGACCUCGAAGCAUUCCACUCGAAAGACUCGAAGUCACUCGACCGCGACAACUACCACUCGAUAGACAAAAGAUCUAAAGUCACUCUGCAUGGCAACGGUCAGACAUUUACUUCAUAGGCUUAAUAGACAUUUAUGUCACUUUAUUGCUAGCGUUACCAGUAACGCCCCCUCUUGAUGUACCUUAAAACCCUUGUAACGUGGGUUGGCUGGGGUCUAGGCGCACUCUAUAUAAGCCACCCCCUCCACUGGCAUAAGGGUUCACACCCCCUGUAAACACACACAUACAUAAUACAGUCGACCACCUCCGGGCACCGAGACGUAGGGCUGUUACUUCCUCCAUGAAGGGCCUGAACUCGUAAAACUCAUGUGUACAACUUCGCCAUAGCUAGGAUCUUGCCUCCUCAUACCUACCCCCAUUCUACUGUCAGUCUUAGAUCCAUGACACCACCCCCUUGUGGGCUGCCUUGCCUCUCUACUAUGGCCCGUGUGGCCCAUUACUUCCCCCGGGGAGUUCCGGUAACCUCCUGGUACUCCGAUAAAGACCCGGUCUCAUGAACAUGGUCAUGUAAGGUUGGUCCGAGCCGCUUCAUCCAACAAUACCGCCGAAUCAAAACUAAGACGUUGGUGGUAAGCAGUAUGACUAUGAUCACCCACAACUCUUUGUGUUCUACUCGUGCAUAUCAUCUAUGCAUAUACCUGGCUCUAAUACCACUAUUGGGGAACGUACCAUGCAAUUUCAAAAAAAUUCCUACGAUCACGCAAGAUCUAUCUAGGAGAUGCAUAGCAACGAGAGGGGGAGAGUGUGUCCACGUACACUCAUAGACCGAAAGCGGAAGUGUUAGCUUAAUGCGGUUGAUGUAGUCAAACGUAUUCUCGAUUCAACCAAUCAAGCACUGAACGUACGACACCUCCGAGUUCAGCACACGUUCAGCUCGAUGACAUCCCUCGAACUCUUGAUCCAGCACAGUGUUGAGGGAGAGUUUCGUCAGCACGACAGCGUGGUGACGGUGAUGGUGAAGUGAUCCGUGCUGGGCUUCGCCUAAGCACUACAGCAGUAUAUGACCGAAGGAGUAAAUGGUGGAGGGGGGCACCGCACACGGCUAAGAUCAAUUGGUGUGCCUUUGAGGUGCCCCCUGCCCCCAUAUAUAAAGGAGGGAGAUGGGAGGAGGCCGGCCUAGGGGGCGCGCCAAGUGGGGGAAACCCACUUGGACUCCUAGUCCUAUUCGGCCCCCUUCCUUCUAUUAGAGGGGGGAAGGGGGAAGGAGAGGUAGAAGGAAAGGGGGGUCGCGCCCCCUCCCCUUGUCCAAUUUAGAUUCCCCAUGGGGGGCAUGUGCCACCCCCUUGUGGGCUGCCUUGCCUCUCUACUAUGGCCCAUGUGGCCCAUUACUUCCCCCAGGGGGUUCCAGUAACCUCCCGGUACUCCGAUAAAUACCCGAAACACUCAGGAACCAUUCCGGUAUCCGAAUACUAUCGUCCAAUAUAUCAAUAUUUACCUCUCGACCAUUUCGAUACUCCUCAUCAUGUCUAUGAUCUCAUCCGAGACUCUGAACAAUCUUCGGUCACCAAAACACACAACUCAUAAUACAAAUUGUCAUCGAACGUUAAGCGUACGGACCCUGCGGGUUCAAGAACUCUGUAGACAUGACCGAGACACAUCUCUGAUCAAUAACCAAUAGCGGAACCAGGAUGCUCAUAUUGGUUCCUGCAUAUUCUAUGAAGAUCUUUAUCAGUCAAACCGCAAUGAAAACACACGUCAUUCCAUUUGUCAUCGGUAUGUUACUUGCCCAAGAUUCGAUCGUCGGUAUCUUCAUACCUAGUUCAAUCUCGUUACCGGCAAGUCUCUUUACUCGUUACGUAAUGCAUCAUCUCAUAACUAACUCAUUAGUCACAUUGCUUGCAAGGCUUAUCAUGAUGUGCAUUACCAAGAGGGCCCAGAGAUACCUCUCCAAUACUCAGAGUGACAAAUCCUAAUCUCGAUCUAUGCCAACCCAACAAACACCUUCGGAGAUACCUGUAGAGCAUCUUUAUAAUCACCCAGCUACAUUGUGACGUUUGAUAGCACACAAGGUAUUCCUCCGGUAUUCGGGAGUUGCAUAAUCUCAUAGUCAAAGGAAUAUGUAUAAGUCAUGAAGAAAGCAAUAGCAAUAAAACUUAACGAUCAUUAUGCUAAGCUAACGGAUGGUCUUGUCCAUCACAUCAUUCUCCUAAUGAUGUGAUCAUGUUCAUCAAAUGAUAACACCUGUCUAUGGUCACGAAACUUAACCAUCUUUGAUUAACGAGCUAGUCUAGUAGAGGCAUACUAGGGACACUUUGUUUUGUCUAUGUAUUCACACGUGUAUCAAGUUUCCGGUUAAUACAAUUCUAGCAUGAAUAAUAAACAUUUAUCAUGAUAUAAGGAAAUAUAAAUAACAACUUUAUUAUUGCCUCUAGGGCAUAUUUCCUUCAGUAUCACCAUCACAUCUUUAUCUUUAUUGCUUUUCUUAGUUCGAUCCUUUUGGUUAUGUCUUGGUCUAGUAGAAGAAAGUUUUUAGUAUGAUCUAGCUUUGAGUUUUGCUUUAUGUUCCCUCUAUGUAAUCGAGUCCUUGAGAUAUAUAAUAAAUAGUAGUUUUGAGUAAAGGGCUUUGCUUUCUUGCUAUGAUCUUGAGGGAAUUAAAUAAAAGAAUGAAUGAAAAGAAUAAAAAGAUAAUAUAUUGAUCUUAUGGAGAGUAAUGACUUCACAUAUAAAGAGUAUGAUGAAUAAAAGUUGUUGAGAGUUGACAAACAUAGUUUUGGUCAUUGUUGCAAUUAAUAGGAAGUAAUAAAUAAAGAGAGGCUUCACAUAUAAAUAUACUAUCUUGGACAUCUUUUGUAAUUGUGUGCACUCAUUAAAAUAUGACAUGCUAAAAGGUUGAUGUUCGACAUGGAAGACAACAUAAUGAGUUAUGUUUUCUUAUAUCCGAAUGGAAGUUAUAUUGUUUUGAAUCAUCCAACAUGUUGAGCUUGCCUUUCCCUCUCAUGCUAGACAAAUUCUUUGCACCAAGUAGAGAUACUACUUGUGCUUCCAAACAUCCCUAAACCCAGUUUUGCCAUGAGAGUCCACCAUACCUACCCAUGGAUUGAGUAAGAUCCUUCAAGUAAGUUGUCAUCGGUGCAAGCAAUAAAAAGUGCUCUCUAAAUAUGUAUGAUCUAUUAGUGUGAAGAAAAUAAGCUUUAUACAAACUUGUGAUAUGGAAGAAAUAAAAGCGACGGACUGCAUAAUAAAGGUCCUUAUCACAAGUGGCAAUAUAAAGUGACGUUCUUUUGCACUAAGAUUUUGUACAUCCAACCAUAAAAGCGCAUGACAACGUCUGCUUCCCUUUGCGAAGGGCCUAUCUUUUACUUUUAUCUUCUACCCUUAUAUAAGAGUCAUGGUGAUCAUCACCUUUCCUUUGGCAAGCUCUUUGUGUUGGAAAGCUCGGAUAUAUAUAUAUAUCCACUCGGAUAUAGGUUUUCAUAAAGUAUUAUUGUUGACAUUACCCUUGAGGUAAGAGGUUGGGAGGCGAAACUAUAAGCCCCUAUCUUUCUCUGUGUCCGAUUGAAACUUUGUACCCAUAAAUAUCGCGUGAGUGUUAGCAAUUGUGAAAGAUUAUAUGAUAGUUGAGUAUGUGGACUUGCUAAAAAGCUCUUAUAUUGACUCUUUCCGAUGUUAUGAUAAAUUGCAAUUGUUUCAAUGACUGAGAUCAUAGUUUGUUAGUUUUCAAUGAAGUUUCAGAUUCAUACUUUACCUUGUGAACGAAUUGUUACUUGAACAUAAGAAAUUAUAUGGCAUAAUAUGUUGUUGUUCUAAAGAUGAUCAUGAUGCCCUCAUGUCUGUAUUUCAUUUUUAUCGACACCUCUAUCUCUAAACAUGUGGUCAUAUUUAUCGAUAUCGGCUUCCGCUUGAGGACAGGCGAGGUCUAAGCUUGGGGGAGUUGAUACAUCCAUUUUGCAUCAUGCUUUUAUAUUGAUAUUUAAUGCAUUAUGGGCUGUUAUUACACAUUAUAUCACAAUACUUAUGCCUAUUCUCUCUUAUUUUACAAGGUUUACAUGAAGAGGGAGAAUGCCGGCAACUGGAAUUCUGGGCUAGAAAAGGAGCAAAUAUUAGAGACCUAUUCUACACAACUCCAAAAGUCCUGAAACUUCACGGAGCAUGUUUUUGGAAUAAAUAAAAAAUAUUAGGCGAAGAAAGUACUAGAGGGGGGCCACCGGCCAGCCACAAGGGUGGAGGGCGCACCCCCUGAUCUUGUGGGCCCCUAGCAGGUAUCCGGUGCCCAUCUUUGGCUAUAUGGUGUCUUUUACCCUGGAAAAAAUCAAGAAGAAGCUUUCAGGACGAAGCGCCGCCAUCUCGAGGCGGAACCUGGGCAGAACCAAACUAGGGCUCCGGCGGAGCUGUUCUGUCGGGGAAACAUCCCUUCGAGAGGGGGAAAUCGUCGCCAUUGUCAUCACCAUCGAUCCUCUCAUCGAGAGGGGGUCAAUCUCCAUCAACAUCUUCACCAGCACCAUCUCCUCUCAAACCCUAGUUCAUCUCUUGUAUUCAAUCUUGGUCCCAAAACCUCAGAUUGGUACUUGUGGGUUGCUAGUAGUGUUGAUUACUCCUUGUAGUUGAUGCUAGUUGGUUUAUCCGGUGGAAGAUCAUAUGUUCGGUUUCUUAAUGAUAAUUAAUACUCCUCUGAUUAUGAUUAUGAAUAUGCUUUGUGAGUAGUUACGUUUGUUCCUGAGGACAUGGGAGAAGUCUUAUUAUAAGUAAUCAUGUGAAUUUGGUAUUCGUUCGAUAUUUUGAUGAGAUGUAUGUUGUCUCUCCUCUAGUGGUGUUAUGUGAAUGUUGACUACAUAACACUUCACCAUUAUUUGGGCCUAGGGGAAGGAAUUGGGAAGUAAUAAGUAGAUGAUGCGUUGCUAGAGUGACAGAAGCUUGAACCCUAGUUUAUGCGUUGCUUCGUAAGGGGCUGAUUUGGAUCCAUAUGUUUCAUGAUAUGGUUAGGUUUACCUUAAUACUUCUUUCGUAGUUGCGGAUGCUUGCGAGGGGGGUUAAUCAUAAGUGGGAGGCUUGUCCAAGGAAGGGCAACACCCAAGCACCGGUCCACCCACAUAUCAAACUAUCAAAGUAACGAACACGAAUCAUAUGAGCAUGAUGAAAACUAGCUUGACAACAAUUCCCAUGUGUCCUCGGGAGCGCUUUGCUUUAUAUAAGAGUUCGUCCAGGCUUGUCCUUUGCUACAAAAAGGAUUGGGCCACCUUGCUGCACCUUGUUUACUUUAUUUACUUGCUACCCAUUAUAAUUUACCCUAUCACAAAACUAUCUGUUACCGAUAAUUUCAGUGCCUGCAGAGAAUACCUUGCUGAAAACCGCUUGUCAUUUCCUUCUGCUUCUCAUUGGGUUCGACACUCUUACUUAUCGAAAGGACUACAAUAGAUACCCUAUACUUGUGUGUCAGCAACGAGCAGCUCGACGUGAGCGGCAACGGGCGAGGGAGAGGGCAACGACGUCUGAGUCGAUGUCCGCACGUCGUCCGCGCGUGAGCGCGCCGGUCGAUCCUGAGGCAGCAGUCUCGCGUCUGUCCUUCGCCGCUCGCUCACGACAGCGGAGACGGAUGCGCGGCGCCUCCGCUACAAGAAUGCCAAGGCACUCCGACUCGCCAUCAAGCUGUCGGAGCAUGAGGCAACAAAGGAGGCAACGGCGAAGGCGGCCCGCCAUGCCAAGGAGCAGGACCACCUGCUCCCCAGGUUAUUAGGCAUGAGGUGCAGCUCCGACUCCGACCUGACGGAUGGCUCCACCUCCAGCUCCGAUGAUGACACACCUCCUCACGCUGACGUCUACACGAAGGACGGCCACAGCCGCGCCGAUGGCCGGAAGGAGAAGGGCCGACAAGGAAAUGGUGAUUUCCUCCGCCCUUUCUUGUUAUGUUUAUAUUUUAUCUAUGUUUCAUAAGUUUGUAGUAUGGAUUUGCACUGACCGUGGUUGAACUCCGAUGAAUGAUGUUCCUUUUGUCUGGCUAAUCCGAUGAACUGUGCUUUGAUCAUGUGUUUUAUGUAGCGUUGCAUGAAUUGCAUGGUUUUGAGGUUUCAGAUAUGAGGGACGCGAGUGUUGAGGCGUGUCUGCAGGCGUUUGAGGGGUCGGAUUAGCCAAAUCCGGCUGUAGAUGCUCUAACAACGCUCACACAUGAGCUAUCAUUUUAGUGGCAGGCAACCACAUAGGAGCCAAAUGAAACUAGAGAACCACACAAAAGGACCUCACAGGAGUUUAACUCCAACUUGAGCAGCUCACAAACUUGAAUCAUCACUCAGUUCGUUACAGCAACAUCACGUUGCAAACUCCCCAAGUUUCUUAGCCAUGAUAUUUUUGGUUUUUUGACAACUUCAAAAAAAGAAACUAAAGAGAAAAAGGAAACUAAGACUACUGAACAAAAAAUAAAACAAUGCAUCUAGUCACCUGGCUAGGGUAACAAAGAUGCUUCCAUGGCAAUGGCACUAGAAAAAUGGUUGAUUACCUAUGACCCGGUUUCAGAUGCAGAUAGUCCCUACAUUUUUCCCAAGGCUGGCCCUGGGUAUUGAACCCACAGAAAGUAAUGCUAAUAUACAUGGAUUCAACCAAGUUAUUGUUGUCUUUAGAAGUUCUAGUUUCCUAGACCGGAUAUCGCAAGUUGUAUAGAAAUAUUUCGGUGGUGUGGAAAUAGGCUAGGGCAUGAUGACUUUACUUACAACCUUAUACUUGCACUUACGAUCUUGUCUUGAUUCCCAACAUAGUCCUGGUAGACAUCGUUAUGGCGUGUUCUCAACAUGUAAAUGUGAGGAAUGCAUCCAAAUAAUGUCACAACUGACCAGCAUCGUGAGUCUAUUGUCCAGCAUAGACCCUUAUCUUGCGCAGGGUUACCUUAGUUAGGGCAUCUCCAACAUUGACCCACAAACCUCUUGUAAUCGUCCAGACCGCGGAACCCAUCCAACGCGGCCCUGUAUCGGUCAGUGGCGCAGUCCGGACGCAUUUUCUCCCGCAAAUCGGAGACAAACAUGGGGGGUUUGCGGGAGUCCGGACCGCUGACACGCCUGCUUUUGACCGCCCUGGCCCACCCAAACCCCUCCUCCCUCGCCUGCGCGCAUUCCCACCCGGCGCCAACUGCCCACACUCAUGCUGCUGUGGAGCACGCCACUCAACAUUGAAGACGGCUCAGGGCGGACACGACCUCUAAUUGCCUCUGCCAUUGAAGCGGCGUGCCAGCCGAGGGCGCCACCCGUUGCAUACCCGACUGAACACGCCUCCUCGUUGCAUUCAAAUGCCUCCAUUAAACCCACAUGGAAGCCGAGGAACCUACUCCGGACACACAUCCGUUCAUGAGUGGGCCGACAUUAGAUGCAACAUCGGGCAAGCUCCUUGAUGACCCACAAGUAUAGGGGAUCUAUCGUAGUCCUUUCGAUAAGUAAGAGUGUUGAACCCAACGAGGAGCAGAAGGAAAUGACAAGUGGUUUUCACCAAGGUAUUCUCUGCCAGCAUUGAAAUUAUCAGUAACAGAUAGUUUUGUGAUAAGAUAAUUCGUAAUAGGUAACAAGUAACAAAAGUAACUAAGGUGCAGCAAGGUGUACCAAUCCUUUUUGUAUCAAAGGACAAGCCUGGGCGAACUCUUAUAUAAAGCAAAGCGCUCCCGAGGACACAUGGGAAUUGUUGUCAAGCUAGUUUUCAUCAUGCUUAUAUGAUUCACGUUCGUUACUUUGAUAAUUUGAUAUGUGGGUAGACCGGUGCUUGGGUGUUGUCCUUACUUGGACAAACCUCCCACUAAUGAUUAACCCCUCUCGCAAGCAUCCGCAACUACGAAAGAAGAAUUAAGAUAAAUCUAACCAUAGCAUGAAACAUGUGGAUCCAAAUCAAUGCCUUACGAAGCAAUGCAUAAACUAGGGUUUAAGCUUCUGCCACUCUAGCAACCCAUCAUCUACUUAUUACUUCCCAAUGCCUUUCCCUAGGCCCAAAUCAUGGUGAAGUGUCAUGUAGUCGACAUUCACAUAACACCACUAGAGGAAAGACAACAUACAUCUCAUCAAAAUAUCGAAUGAAUACCAAAUUCAAAUGAUUACUUAUAACAAGACUUCUCCCAUGUCCUCAGGAACAAACAUAACUACCCACAAAGCAUAUUCAUGUUCAUAAUCAAAGGAGUAUUAAUUAUCAUCAAGGAUCUGAACAUAUGAUAUUACACCGAAUAAACCAACUAGCAUCAACUACAAGGAGUAAUCAACACUACUAGCAACCCACAAGUACCAAUCUGAGAUUUUGAGACAAAGAUCGAAUACAAGAGAUGGACUAGGGUUUGAGAGGAGAUGGUGCUGGUGAAGAUGUUGAUGGAGAUUGACCCCCUCUCGAUGAGAGGAUCGUUGGUGAUGACGAUGACGAUGAUUUCCCCCUCCGGGAGGGAAGUUUCCUCGACAGAACAGCUCCGCCGGAGGCCUAGAUUGCUUAUGCCCAGGUUCCGCCUCGAGACGGCGGCGCUUCAUCCGAAAAGCUUUCUCUUGAUUUUUUCCAGGUCAAAACCCUUCAUAUAGCAGAAGAUGGACACCGAAGGCCUACUAGGGGCCCACAAGCCAGGGGGCGCGCCCCCACCCUUGUGGCAAACUGGUGGGUCCCCACUGGUACUUUCUUCGCCCAAUAUUUUUUUUGUAUAUUCCAAAAUAAUUAUCCGUAAAUUUUUAGGACUUUUGGAGUUGUGUAGAAUAGGUCUCUCAGAUUUACUCCUUUUCCAGUCCAGAAUUCCAGCUGCCGUGAUUCUCCCUUUUCAUGUAAACCUUGUCAAAUAAGAGAGAAAGGGCAUAAGUAUUGUACCAAGAUAGGUAAUAACAGCCCAUAAUGCAAUAAAUAUCAAUAUAAAAGCAUGAUGCAAAAUGGACGUACCACUCCUCCCAUCUGCCCUCUAUUUAAACGAGGCCAGAUGCCGGGCAAGAAUUACACCACUUCGCCGCUCCCCAUCUCCUCCUUCCAUCAUUUUCUCCACCCUUUCGAUGGCAUCCGAUGAGCAGCAAGAGCAGUUCUCUGGCAUAAAAGCGAGGAUUGGCCCGCCAAGCCCGACGAAUAUGAGCUAGGCAGCUCGUUGCUCCACCUCCCUCGCCUAGCCCGACGGAGCAAGUUGCUCCAGGCUGGCAUGCGCGGGGAGCAUGGUUGCACGGGCACUGUCGCCUCAAGUGCCUACAACCGUGCCAUCCACCAUCGACGCGCGUGCAGCUAUGCCAUGCAGGCAGAGAAAGAAGUCGGUUGCACGAAUUUCGACGAGGUAGCAGCCCGCACGUCUGCGCCCGCUGCCAUCACCGAUGAGAAGUAGAACAUGGGAGGGCACGGCCGCUUGGGUCCCAGUAAGGCCAUUGCUGCUGACCUGUCUGGUUCUCCUUUAUCUUAGACCAUCUUGGGGCACCCAUCCGAAUUCCAUGGAAGCACCCUUCCCCUAUGGCUGAAGCACCCUCUUUGCCACUCCGAUGAGCGGUGCAGCCGGACAUAGGGAAGAUACAGCGGAAGAAUAUGUCUCCGGGACUCCCGACAAUCUAGUUAGCGGGUUGUCGGACAUGGGAAGACAAAGGGAUCUGCCACGGCUGGUCGUAGACUAGUGUAUCCGUGUCAUGGGAGUGGAGCUACGCGCAACCGUACGUGCACGUAGUUUUACCAUUUUUACUUGAAAAUGUAUCCAAAAUGUAACCAUUUUUGUUCGGUUUGUAUGAAAUCUGUCAUGUUUAUACGAAGUCUGACCUUGUUUGCACGAAUUUCAUUCGGUUUGUUGAAAAAGAGUUUGAAAUGUAUGCAGCUACGGGUGGAUAGCGGCCUCCCACAUCCAUGUCCGUGGAUGGAUGCGGGAGGAAAUUUGCGGGUUGCUGUUGGAGAUGCCCUUAUUAAGGAUUUUCUACAUACCAAUGCAUUAGGUGUUUAAUGACUACAUCUCAUGGUCGAGUUGCUUUGGGCUACCAUACUAAUCCUUAUUGUCACAAACUUUCGGUAUAGCCUUCCAUGCGUUCUUGUACUUUACCUCCUCCUUGAUAGAUCUACGAGAUUCCGGGUACCGGAGCCUUAGAAUGAGAAAGAGAUAAGAGACAAAUGUGUUGCAAAUAACACAUACGGAUGACGUUCAAUUAAGUAAAGUCAAUGCAAAUGAUCAUGUGCACAAAUACAUGGGGCUACAAGGCUAUGCCUCGACCCAUUGCCGGAGGGAAUUACUCAAACAUCGCAAUCAGAUCACAGAUGGAAAACAUUGUAGACGACAUUGAUAGAUGAAUGAUUGUAUAGUCUUACAAUGUCGUCUUAUGCAAUGGAUCGAUUACAAGAAGGCAAACUAUGUGGAUAAUGGCUAUGGAGAUGGAGAUGGCGAUGACUAGGGUUUCUCCAAGCAAUGGUGGUUGGUGGUGAUAGUGAUCCUGGUGACUCUUCUGCUCUCUGCGGGAUUGUUCUAUUGCGAAUGGGGCCAUGAGCUUUUUAUAAAGUGCAUCAUGGCUAACGUCACGGAGCUAGUGGAGGGUGGUACGAGCGCCUGUGCUCAUACCAGACAUCGUCUUCUCCUCUGUUUCUUCUAUGGCACGCUCCCAUUUUUUGGCUUGAUCUUUACACUUCAUAUUUCCAUGUAUAGCUUAACUUCCUUUCGUUUAAUGGUCCAUUUACUGUAAAAACAAAUUGAGAAAAGAUAUUUGUAAUUUGCAUUUAUUAGUCAUUAGUGAUAAGAUUAGAUUGAUUUUCUCAGAAUAUCCACGAUUAUCCAGUUUAAACGGUGGAAGGAUUAGUACACUCAUCAACCUCCCCAAGCUUAAACCUUAAUCGUCCUCGAGCAAGAACAGAACCGUAAGGAACUCAGUUGUUUAAAUCAAAAUAAGAUGAAGGUUUUGGUUCGCUUAUGAUGGGUACACCUAGAUAUCCCAACACUUUCUUCAUCUGAAAACUUAGCAUAGUUGUAGCGACGACAAUGGUUAUUAUGCAAGCGGGUUAGCUCAAGAUAAUUAACAUAAAGUUUUCAUUAGUUUAGACAAAGUAAUGAACUCACAAUUAUUCUACUUCGUUUAGCUUACACUUGCUUGCCAAGAAGAACUUUGCAACGAAAAGGGAUUGAAAGGUAUGUAAAAGACAACAUGUUGCUAGAGUAAAUCACUAACACCCACGAGUAUCGCGUUAUCAAGGCUCGCAAGCACUCCUUCCAUCGUUGCUUUUGAAACUUUCGUUUUACGGCAACAAGAUCUUGCCAAAGAAAUGAUACAUGCAAACGGUUUUUUGUUGUGCCUUAAAUUGAAUACUAUGAACCACGAUUUGUCUCUUUCAAGCGCAUUGAUUAAUAUUCUUUUUUCCACACACACGACAUCAAGAGAAAGCCGAAUAAUACUCAUCAUAGUGUUGUGACUAUAGAUAUGAUGAAUGAUGCCAUCGGGAUUGAUUAUAUCCAAAUCUCAAAGCCAUUUAAGGUGGCCAAUGAGAAUAUUUUUGAGGUUCCUACUCCAACCCCAACGAAGAAAAGGCAGCUAGAUGGAUAUAGCUCAAGGCACUGGGGAACGCAUGGUUGCCAUUGAGCGGGAGAAGUUGAUGAUCACUAGAGAUGAGGUGAUGGCCCAUAAAAUGGAUCAAGGGUGAAAAGAUUAUGUUUAUGGACAAUAGUGGCCUUAUUAGACAACAAAGGUCACACACGGAGGCACUCAUGGACAUGUCUUGGCAUCAAAGAUGGGUAGGUUUAAGGGCAGCAAUGGUCGCAUUUGAUGAUCCAUGUGUGAUAAUUUUGGAUAAACUUUUGUUCUAUGUUUAUGAUCAUCACUUUGCUUUGCAUGUUAUGUUUAAAUUUAAAUUUGAGUAUGACUUUUUUAAAUAUGUAUUAAAAAUGUUGUUGAACUCUAUGUGGUGGGAUCAUACAAGUUUGGAUUGUUGUUUUCAUGCCGAAUAUGAGUUCAAAGUGUUCGUGUAUGCACAAGAGGGAGAGAAACAACGAAAAAUAGAAUUGGGAGGGGGGAGGGUUGUUUUAAGGUAUGUCAGAGAAGGUGCACCAAAGAUCCCUUACGUUGGGUCAAAAGGAGUUAGUUUUGUGGUUUGAGAAGACUUUUGUUUUGAUAUUAAAGAGAGAACUGUUUUAAUAUCUGAAUCAAAACCCAGUCUUCUCUUUCCCUUCUUCUCUCAUGAAAGUGGCGGCUAGGACGAAGAAUCCGUCCCUUGAGGCUCUGUCGACGAACCGUGGAUUUUCUCGCCCUCUGCCUAUCGCUUCACGGCCAAUGAAGGGGCAUGGAACCCCAAUGCCUAGGCCCCAGCUAGUACUUUAGGUUAGGAAUUUUUAGUCCUCGUAGGGGUGGCGCUUGGGCGGAUGGCGGUACCUCGCCUUCUAUCUAGUAUUUCGGGCUCUAAUCCUCCUUGACUUCGUCCGCCAAGACAGAGUCGAAGUAGCUUUGACAUAAAUUUCUCUUGUCUCCUUGGGGAGGCAAGGUUAGAGUUCCUUGUCAUAUGUGCGUGACGGUGAGAUCUAAGACACUUCAGAUAGAUUCAAGGGUUCAACAUCGGCUCCAAGGCGUUGGCUCUUAGGGACAUGUGCAUGAAGACUUCCCGACCGUUCUCGACAAGAUUAGGCCGACAAAGGUAGGGAAGCAACCCGUUCUGACGAUGGUAGUGGUUGUUCGAUGGUUUAGAAAUUUUGAUGUAAUUUUUAUUAUAUUUAGGAUGCUUAGUAUUUCUCAUGAACUUCUUUAUAACAGAUCUUGUCUUUUCUGAAAAAGAAAAAAACUCAGUUACAGGAGAGAUUCUUCCUGGUGUGGUUGGUGAGUCCACGAGACGAACCCAUGCGCACAUGCCACAUGUGCCGAAGGCCGAUGGGAAAUAGUAUCCGCGUGGAUCCAGAUCCUCCCCUGGCAUGGGCGGCAUCUCGACAAAUCGAAGCGGGACCCACCCGCCGAUCUCCGGCAGCCAACCGCUGGUACUAGUCCCCGUCCCGCCCCCCUCCCGAUUCUCCGGGGAGUCCGAGCGAGCUCACGAACAUCAACACUAGUCGGCUCGCUCGCUCUCACUCUCCCCUCCGGCGCCCGUAGACGCGGCCGGCAGAUCCAAGCAAUGGUGCGCGUCACUGAGACACACUUCUCUGGCCCCGCUCGCUUGCUCUUCCUUUGCAUCUCGUGAUCCCGCACCUUGGCUCUCCCGAUCAUCACCUCGUUUUCUCCGCCUUCUUUUCAGGAUUUGAGGGCGUUCUUCGGGGGCAAGAAGCAGGAGCCGGAGCAGAACGGGCACGCCAACGGGGCGGCGCCCAACGGGGGCGUCAAGAAGAGGACCGCCGAUUUGGCCAUCUACGAGCAGUACGAGCAGCAGGUCCGUGCCCUGUGCUUGUGCGCUGGCCUCUUUGGCGAGCGAUUACGUGCACGCGGGUGUUCUUGGCUGGUCCUGUUUCCCUUGACCCACAAUCGUAUUUUUGCUGUUACAGGCCAGGCAGCCGGAGAUGCGCGCCGCGGCAAUUCGCGAUGGGAAUGCUGAUGUGAUGUGAGUUAUUUCUUCGUUUUUGUCUUAACUAAGAUCCAUUCUUUAGCUGCUCGAUGCAGCAUGCGAUGGGGGUUUGCUUAUCAGAUCUUGAGCUAUAGGUUUGGGCAUUAGUUUUGGUGCGAAAUGAAAGGGGUUUGACUGAGUGAAAGCUAUUGAUUUGUUGGAAUGUGUUUGUUGUGGAAUGGGUAGAGAGGCCUAGUUGGCAUGGAAUUGGAAUUGUAUGGCCAUUAAUAUGGGAUGCUGAUUCAUGUUAUUUCGGCUGGUUUAUUGAAUGCAUGAGUGCACAAUGCAGUUCCUCUAAAGGGGCUUGGCUGCAUCAGGUGCAUCCCUAGUUCAACUGGAGAUUAAGAUUUUUGGGUGCCAAACCUUACUAACUGGCCAUGUUGCGCUGGACAUCUUACUUAUAGAGCUGUGAAAGUACUUUAGAAUGUGUGUUGCAAGAGAAUAUUGAAACCAUCUAGGAUUGGUGCUACCGGGGAUGUCUUUAAGGGGACAAUUUUGGGCAUAAUUUUCGGGUUUUAGCUGGAGCAUACCUUGAAUUAUUAACAGUUUCUCAUUUCCUGUAUAAAAAGGACCAACACAGGCCAGUUCUUUUCAUAUCUUUGUGCUAUCUUCUGUAUGGUAAUUGUCAUGGAAAGAAAGAAAAGGCGUCAUCACCAAAAAUUCUUAAAUAGCACAGCAAACUAACAUAUGGAAAGUCUCAAGUUGCCAUUAUGUUUCACUUCAAUUACAACAUUUGCUCUCCCUGAAAAAUGAUUUUGCAUGUUCAAAUCUUAGUUAUUCAGAAUAUCUACUCUUCUUGAACAUUACAAUUAUGGAGGUUACUUUUGCAGCCAGAAGCCUCUCCUACCUCAAUUUGAGUCAGCUGAAAUGCGUAACUUAGCAGAGACAUUGUUGCGGUAAGGAGUAAUCUAAGCUUCACAUAGAAUUAGGGAUGGCAUUGUCUAGCUAUCGACUUAUUCUCCUCCUUUCAGGGAUAUUAUCCGCGGGAGCCCUGAUGUGCAAUGGGAAAGCAUCAAGGGACUAGAGACUGCAAAACGUCUGCUAAAAGAAGCAGUCGUCAUGCCCAUAAAGUACCCAAAGUAAGAUUGCUACUUUAUGAUUCAUAAGGUUAAAGUUAAUCUUUGGACAUUACCUCCUAGUGUGUUCAACUGCACCAUCAUUGUGCCCUUCCCUAGUGGUAUUUCAGAUUGUCAGCUUCUUUGUGUGAUGGCCCUCUCUUUUAUAAAUAAGCAAUAGAUUCAGAGAAGGAAGGUAGUGAAGGUCUUUUUGUAGCAGAAAAAUUUGAUGUCUAAUAUCAUAUAAAUUUUUAUAUUCUUGUUCACCUUUCUUUUGAUUCUUUAGCUUAUAGGGAGCAAAGCAACCAACUACCAUGAAUUAUCCUACGUAUUUAAAUGAAUUAACAAAGAAUGGCAAAAUAACGGCUUUGAUACGCACACUUGAGAAGAGCACAUAAUAGUUGAACCUUAAUGUAUUUUAGAAAAAAAAUACUUCUAUCAGAUUGUACCCAUCACUUUUGUCUAAAACUUAAUUGGAAAGUGAUAGUCGCGUUAGUCUACUUAUUUUAUGCAAAAUAGUCACUGAUCUUUCUUCGGAAUGGUCUGGGGGUUCUGAGGUGUGGGUUUGGAAGUUCUCGGAAUGGUCCCGCUCCAGUUGUCUACCUAGAUACUAAACCUUUUAAAGGCGUACUGCAUAUGAUUAAUCUGUCAAUUAUUCAUAAUCUUAUUUUUUACAAUAUUCAGAUACUUCACUGGUCUACUAUCACCGUGGAAAGGCAUCUUACUUUUUGGUCCUCCUGGAACAGGGAAGGUUGUAAACUUGUUCCAGAUGUUACUUCUGCAUUUUAGUGCACUUAGUACACAAAAAAUAUAUGUCCAUAUUUUCCUUUACAUACCUUUUAUUUUCCACGUAUUCUUAUAUCUCCACCCUAGGACAUUAUAAAUCACUACUUCACUGUAUUUUGUAGCAAGAGAUAUCAUAGUAGAGAUAACAUUCUGAUCAUAGUUCAUUCUAAGUUUAGCAGUAGUCAUGUGGUAAAAAAAUUAAUAUUGUAAGGGAUACUUGUAGGUGUACCGCACCCAAGCUCACAUGGCCACUUAAUUUACUUUUCAGAGGAUCAGUUUAGAAAAUCCAAAAAAAAUCUGACAUGGAAUCACGUACCGUCAAGUAUUUUGUGAUUUGUUUUGUUGAUUUGUAGUCUGCAUAAAAAAUGAGGAGCUAAAAACAUUUUUAGGUUGUGAAUUUUUUCGGGUUUGUUUAUUUUUCAGUCCACAAUAAUAAUAUCAUGAUUAUCAUGAAACUUUAUAUGUAAACAUAAUCAAGAAUCUACAUGUGAGAAUAUUGGAAGAAUGAUUUUUUAUAGAAGGGAGCAAGUGCUUCCGAGUGCCUAGCUCAACUGGUUGGGUGAGUGGAUGUACAAACCCAACACCUCCUCACAGAGGAUAAUUUAGGCUCCUAUUUAUUCUUGACGACCAGGCUUUCUUGGUACCCAUACAUUUAUCCUUGAGGACUAGGCUUGGUGCAUAACCAUGAUUAAAAAUCCUGGUACUCAUGCUUAAAAGGCUGCGUGCAUCCCUAGUUGGUGCAGAGGCCGGGGAAGUGAAAUUCUCCCCCAAUUUUAGAGCUUGCACGUAUGGACCAAAAAAGUGGUGGGCUACGCCGCCGCCCCACUCUCAGGCCCCCUCCGCCCCUUCUCUCCCCCGCCCUCGCCGGCCGGAAUCGCAUGGGCAAAGCCCUCGUGGUGGUCAGUGGCGGCGGGCCCUAGCAUGGUCGGGUCGGCUCCGGCGGCGCUCUUCGGCAGGCUGGCGCGGAACAUGGAGGCGGAUCGGUGUGGCUCUGGCGACGCGGAUCGGCGCGGCUUCGGCGGCAUGGAUCGGUGCAAGGCGGAUCAACGCGUCCUGUGGCGUGGGUCGGUCUUCAAGCGCGGUGCAGCGGUGGGAUCUUUGUGCUCCUGCUAGCCCUGUCCAAACGGUGGUUCAUCCCCCCGUGGUGCUCGUUUUGGUGGUGUUGACCGCCACGGAUGUCAUGGCCGUUGGCUUCGUUGAUCCAGUUCGGGUCAGCGUGCGUCUGAUGGGUCUAGCUUGCUUUGGCCAUAGUCGAGAUCUUUGAAGGUGGCAAUCUGGCGCACACGAUGCUGGAUGGAGGUUCAUCGAGUAGAUCCGGGUGAAAACCUUGCUCUCGGCUAGUUGCCAAGGCCGGCGAUGGCGGCGUUCUUCUGUGUCGCCCCCUUCUUGAAGGCAUCGUCGUGGAGAAGCUCUAGACCUCUAUCUGCUACUUCCAGGGAAAACCCUAGAUCGGUCGAUCAAUAAGAUGACGGCGACGCUCUUGUGUUGUUCCCCCCUUGGGGGCGUCAUUCUUGGAGGUGUGCAUUGGCUCGAGGGACCAGUGGACGGUUUCAGAGGUGGAGCGGCGUUUCAUGUGACGCAUCGACGAUGUGGAGUCUCGGCGGCGUGGCGCAGCACGGUCUCGGCGACGGAUGUGUGAUGAUGGACGCGUGUACGGAGGUGGCGUUGUCUGGUGUCAUGGUGGCGUCAACGUCAGGCCUGGCAAGGUCGAUGCAUCAGUAUCUGCUCUGAAGAUUGAUCGGUGGAAGACGGUUGUGGCGGCCUCUGUGGCGUGCGCAUGCGGUGACCACUGAGAGUGCGCCGGACCGGUUUGUGCCCCAGACCCGGCAAUGUGGCUUGGUUGGGGCCUCCGGCUUUAGAUGUUGGGCUUUGGUGUGAGGUUUGGGUAUGCGGCUCAGACAAUCUGCACCCCUUCAUCAAGUUGAUAGGAGUAGCGACAGAUAUUACUUUGUAAAGUCUUGGUGAUAAUUAAUAAAAUGGCUUCAUGCAUCGUCCUGAUGCAGAGGCCAGGGGUCAUCCUCCUUUUCAAAAAAAAGUGCUUGCGAGUGCCAUUUGGCAUUAGACACGUGUAGUUUUUCUUUUCUUUGUGAGGUGGGUGGGGGGGUCAUUUGUAUACAUGUUAUAGUUCUAUAGUUUUCCUUUUCUUUUCAACCAUUUUUUUGGCUAUUAAGAAUUCCUUGUGUUGCCUAUUUAAAGUAGUGCUCUUUUCUAUUUUCAGACAAUGCUGGCAAAAGCAGUUGCUACUGAGUGCAAUACUACAUUCUUCAACAUCUCGGCUUCAUCAAUUGUCAGCAAAUGGCGUGGUGUGUGUUGUUAACUUCCCUCUGUCCUGCAUACAGUUAUUUGAUUAAAUUACUUAAAUUGCAUAACAACCGGUAAUUUAGGCAUGCUUUGCACAAUUAGGUAAUUUGUUCAGGUGGUCAUUUAUCAUAUCAUAUUUAUGUUGUUAUGUGUAACAUAGUUAAGGUUUGUUUGAUGAAGGAAUAACUAAUGGAAUGUUCUUUUGUGCAAGUGCAGGAGAUUCUGAGAAGCUAGUCAAAGUUCUUUUUGAGCUUGCAAGACAUCAUGCACCAUCAACAAUAUUUCUUGAUGAGAUUGAUGCUAUUAUUAGUCAGCGUGGUGAAGCUCGUAGUGAGCAUGAAGCUAGUCGACGCUUGAAGACUGAGCUACUUAUUCAGGUGUCUACUUGUUCACAAAUAUAAAUAAGCUAGUAUUCUAAUGCAUUGUUUCCUACUACAUGAUCUCCUAAGCCCUAGCUUGAAGCGUGCUGAGCUUCUGAUUUCAGUUUAGUCAUAUUUACACCAAUUUUUACUGCAGAUGGAUGGCUUGACAAAAACGAACGACUUAGUAUUUGUGCUUGCAGCAACAAAUCUACCAUGGGAAUUAGAUGCAGCUAUGCUCCGUCGGCUUGAGAAGCGGGUAUGGCCAGUGCUGUGUUUUUAUUCCAAGUUGUUUUUCCAAACAAAGAAGGACAUGCUCCCAAUCUCAUUGCCAAAAUUGUUUAAACCAAGUUGAAUUUUGAACUCGACAGAUAUAUGUUUGUUAAUACCAAUCAUUUCAGUCAUGCUUUGGUUGAAUAUUCUUUUGUGGGGCUUAUAUGUCAGACCUGAAGAAGCUUUUAUUUGAAUUCCAAAUGAAGAGCAUAUCUUACUCUUAUGGAAAUGGAUGCUUGAGAUGUAUCCAAAGUAUUCGAUUAGUAGUAAAUAUUAGAAGAGAGCAUGCUAGCAUAUAAUAUUGUUUCUUUACUGGGCGGUAAGACUAAAAUCAACAUUUUUCUUAUUUAUAGUUUAUCUAUACCCAAACCCAUUACUACAAAACAUUUGAUUUGCAACUGCAUAUCAUGGACAGAUCAAAGUAGGAAGACAUGCUUGUAUGAGUGAGGCCUUUAUUGUAAAAAGAAAGCAGGUGUGAUAUGUAGGAAACAUUCCAUGCCAUAUAUUUGAUAAAUUAACUGCACAAUUUUUUGGCAUCGUUCAUCAGAUUCUUGUACCACUUCCUGAAGCUGAAGCAAGGCAGGCCAUGUUUAAGGAACUUUUGCCAGCAAUGACCUCAAAUCUAGAGGUCCCAUAUGAUAUCCUGGUCGAAAAGACUGAAGGGUACUCCGGUUCAGACAUCCGUCUCGUGUGCAAAGAAGCUGCCAUGCAGCCACUGAGACGUCUCAUGUCAGUUCUUGAGGCCAGUGAUGAGCUGGUGCCAGAGGAAGGUUAGUUUUGAUUUCUUGAUUUCCUAAAACCAUUUGUACUUUCCUGUGAAAUACAAUAGUGCCUAAGUUUUUAGACUUGUUCUUGCCGAUCUGAUCAAACUUAUUACAUAUUCGUUAUUACCGUUCGUGGUGUAGAGCUGCCUGAGGUUGGCCCUCUCAAACCUGAAGACGUUGAACUUGCUUUGAGCAACACAAGGCCGUCAGCCCAUCUCCAAGCACAUCGUUAUGAAAAAUUUAACCAGGACUAUGGGAGCCAUAUUCUUUCCUAAGAGCAAACCACGAUCAGCUUCUCAGGUCAGUUGUGCGCGAAAAUAUGCCUUGCCAAGCAUGUAGUCAAUAAAAAGAAACUAAAAUUUCCCUCCGUGAAGAAUGUAGAAUAUUUAUUUUUGUUGUUGUCUGCAGGUUUGCCAAGUGAUGCACGGUGGUGGUUCAUUUGAACAUGCACUGGUACAGAGCUAUCUUGCCCUACAACAAGGCCACACCAAUCAAAAUGGCCUUGUCGCACCGUUAUAUUUAUCCUUUGACAGUCGUCAAGCAGGAUGCAAAAAUUGUUGCUAAAUACAUUAGACUGGUUUAAGUUGGGAUGCAAUCAUUGGGCAUCUGAUUUUUCUGCGGCAGCUCUGCUUGACUAGACUGGAAUAUUACCCUGUAAUGAUCGUACUCCAAAAUAAUUAACAAAUGAUUCAUUGAGUAGGAUUUAUGAAGAAAGAAAUAAAUGUUAGGCAUGUUGUAUGGAACAUUACAGUCCAGUUCUUUGCGCUUCACACAUACUCCCUCCGUCCCAAAUUACUCGUCGUGGUUUUAGUUCAAAGUUAAACUAAAACCACGACGAGUAAUUUGGAACGGAGGGAGUACUAGGGUUUCUUCGCUUCAAAGGGUUCUCAUGGAAAUUUUGGAGGAUGCUAUCUCUUAAGAAUGUUUUCCGUAAGGCUUGUCUGAUUUGUAGGAUUAAAAAAUUGAGUAAAACCGAUAAAUCUACACAUUGCUUCUGCAUGCAAUUCACAGGGAGAAUGUUCAUUUAGACGAUUUUAUGAAGAAGAAAAUUGCUUUGUUUCUGUGAUAGUGAUUGAACCAUAUAAUCUUUCAAAGAAAUUCCUGACUUGUCUACCUAUACCACUAUGUAGUACAACAACUUUGAUAUGCUCCAUCGAACGGUUGAGAGAUGAUCCGUUAGAGAAAGUGUUCAUCUCACAAGACUUUGCCACAUGGCUCUUAAUUGAACCACCACUCUAUUGUCUCAUAGUGUUCUAGAAGCAUCAUUUUUCCGUACAAAGAAUCCGAUUCUCCAAUAAAAAAGAAAUAAGACAGUCCAUGUUCUAGAGAGUUAGGCCUUGUCAAAUAUGAUUCACAUGGAAGGAAAUAAAUGUCGAGAAUGCUUUUUUAUACAUUUCAUGAUGUUUUCCUAAUGCGGAAAAAUAGGCAAUCCUUGUUCUAGAAAAAAGGUGCAGUUUACUAGUUCAUGUAGUGUAAACAAACAAGAGGGCGUAAAUUGGAGCAUUUUUAAUGUAAAAAAUUAGAUUUAAAAUUUCAAAAGAAAAUACCAAUUUUCCUCAUAGAUGUGUUUUAUAUACAUUAGGCUACACAAAAAGUAACUAUUUUGAUCCACCUGUCUUUUUUCUGUGUGUACGCCUCAACAGAAAAGAUGUACUCCCUCCGUCCGAAAAUACUCAUCAUCAAAAUGUAUAAAAGGGGAUAUAUUUAGAUGUAUUUUAGUUUUAGAUACAUUUUUUUAUCUAUUUUAAUGACAAGUAUUUUCGGACGAAGGGAGUAUUGAGGGAAAAUGUAUAUACACACUACACAUCGAUAUGUACGUGCCUAUAUUUUUCAGAACUUUUUAGGUUUCAAAAUACUGUUUUUGCUUCUUCUUCUUUUCUUAAAAAGAAGGGCUCAAUCUAGUCAGGGCUCUGUUUCGAGCCUGUUACAAAGCUUUGUGCUUUUUAGUGGGACUAUACCCCCUUUUGGAGAUCGUAUGAACCACAGAUAUAAUCAUCUUUAGCCAACAGAAGUUAUGCCACAAACGACUACAACAAAAUAACGAGUGAAUCCCACAAAUACACAUUCUCUUUCUCAUAGCACAAGCAUAUGCAUUCAUCUUUUCUCAGUUCAAAUGCAAGAAUGUGCAAAUUAGGCCAAUCAAACACCCGAGGAAAACGAGCAUUCCCAUCAUCAUCAGACAGGUAAUCGAUUUCACACAUGCGAUGCAGUGCAAAUUAGGCCAAUCAAACACCGGAGGAAAACGAGCAUUCCCAUCAUCAUCAGACAGGUAUCGAUCUCACACAUGCGAUGCGGAUACUCAUGACACUACUCUAGUAAACCACACUGAAUGUACGGACUAGCUCAGCACAUAUAGCAGCUCUCGGAACCAAAACUACCACCAGCUCAAGGCAAUCCCUUCAUUGGAUCAGCCGUCUUCCCAGACCUGGCGUCAGACCACGCUUUGGCUAUUGUGCGCUUCAUAUCUUCAUCACCUUCCUCAUACAUGCCCU